rnacentral:lncRNA from 1 species
ACUAACCUAUCCACCACUGGAUCAAGCACAAGCAACAAUAGCUUGUAUACUCUUUUUGAUUUAAGAAAGAAUAUAAUUACAAUAUCUAUAAAUCUCUAGCAACAAAGAAUUAAUAUCAAGGCACAAACAGUUUGCUAGAAUUUUUUCAAAUGAAGCACUGAUAAGUAUUUUCUCUCAGUUGGUUGUCUGCUUGGGCUUUUGCCAAGAGGAUGUAUAUAUAUAGACAAAAAGC